GUGGAAUUAAGUUAAAAAAAACUCACUGGUUUUCAACCAGUAAAUGCUCCGCAUUUCACA
rnacentral:tRNA from 1 species